UUCAGAAGACGAAAAUGCAAUUGGGUGUUCAAAUAUUAGUUACUGAUCCCAGAGAGUUUGAGAAAAUUCGUCAAAGAGAGGCUGAUAUGACUAAGGAACGCAUUGAAAAACUAUUGAAAGCUGGAGCCAAUGUUGUUCUGACUACUAAAGGAAUUGAUGACAUGGCACUCAAG